AGUGAACGCUGGCGGUAGGCCUAACACAUGCAAGUCGAACGGCAGCACAGUAAGAGCUUGCUCUUACGGGUGGCGAGUGGCGGACGGGUGAGGAAUACAUCGGAAUCUACUUUUUCGUGGGGGAUAACGUAGGGAAACUUACGCUAAUACCGCAUACGACCUACGGGUGAAAGCAGGGGUUCUUCGGACCUUGCGCGAUUGAAUGAGCCGAUGUCGGAUUAGCUAGUUGGCGGGGUAAAGGCCCACCAAGGCGACGAUCCGUAGCUGGUCUGAGAGGAUGAUCAGCCACACUGGAACUGAGACACGGUCCAGACUCCUACGGGAGGCAGCAGUGGGGAAUAUUGGACAAUGGGCGCAUGCCUGAUCCAGCCAUACCGCGUGGGUCAAGAAGGCCUUCGGGUUGUAAAGCCCUUUUGUUGGGAAAGAAAAGCAGCAGGUUAAUACCCCGCUGUUCUGACGGUACCCAAAGAAUAAGCACCGGCUAACUUCGUG
rnacentral:rRNA from 1 species